AAAAAAUUCUGAGAAAACUAGGAAGGAGAAAUACAACCAAUACGAAGCACAGCCAUGGUGAGGCCUACUAACUGAACCUCCACUUUUUCAUAUCGCAAUCACCUUUACUUUUUGUUAUUUAUUUUGCUACAGGCGGAAAUUUAGUCAGAGGUCGAUAUGAAUAUAUUCGUGCGUGUGUUUUGUGCAGGCAUUUUUUUUUUUUUUUAAAUUAAUUGGUGGGUUCUUGAUCAAUGUUCAGAUUUAUGUCACUUUAAGGUUAGAAAUGGUUUAAAAGGAAAGACCAUGGCUGGCUAAUAGAAGAAUUCUGGAAGGCUGUAAGUGAUAUCUUCUUUUCAUGUUUUGCCAUUCUUUUCAUGUAAGUAUACAAUCAAUGUGCAGUUUUGAAGUUAUCUGUUAAUUAUGAUAGUAUUAGAAGAUAAUUACUCUGAUUAAUUAUAAAUAAGUAUUAUGUUAUGUUGCUGCAGGACUGGUUGUGUAUUGCUCUAAAAGCUUUCAUUCAAAUAUGCUUUUUACAUCUUUAUUUAUUGUUAAUUUUAUUCUCAGUAAAUGGUGUUUAUCUUAAUUGGAUAUAUGAGUUCUACAUCUGGGUUUUUACAUCUGGGUUUUUGUGGUGAUGAACAUUCGAAACAUGGAAAUAAAAUCUUCAACCGUUAUCAGAUGAUGGUUUUGGCUGCAUUGUAGGUCAUAGAGUCUUUAGACAUUUAACAUCUACUUGAUUUUAAUUUAUUAACCCAUUUUCCAUUUGUUACAUUGAAUUGCACUGACAUAAAAUGAUUGCAUCACUUGUUUUGGUGUGAAUGCUGAUUCAUUUGACAGAAGAUGUCUGUUGUGAAAUAUCUAUAUUUUUACCUACGGUCCUACACAUGCAACAAAGUACUAUGGGAGUUGUGGCUUGUAUGUCGCCAUUCUCCUUUUCUAUCUCAGUUUCUCUCUGGGCUUCAUAUUAACUGUUAGGGUAAUGCUCAAAAGCUUGAGUUGCUUGAUUGAAGUCAUGUCGUCAUUUUCAGUAGCACCCUUUAAGGUGAAACUACUAGUGUGAGCUCUGUCAAGUCAUGUAUAACCUGCAUGUCAUAUUGUUACAGUUUCCCCCAUAAGCAAAUGAUACACAUCCAUUGGCACGAUGUCUCCAAACGUUGCGAUUCAUCAAGCUGUUCGACGAACUGAUAAGAUCUUGUUUGUCAACCAUUAACUCUGUCCACCUUUUCUAGCCUCAAAACUUAUAUGGUUUUGGAUGUCACUCGGUAGUUAACUCUAAUUUCUUCACCGUCUCUUCAAAAACCUCAUCAUAAAAUUGCCGAGGUCAAGUAUUGAACCGACACUUAAUCCCAACAUUGCACAUCGACUGGAUCAGAUUGUUAUGAAGUUGCUGGUAUCAUCACUAUAGACAUUCCUGUUUAUGAAAUGAAUCUUCGGAUCUUCUGAUAGCAAACAGGACAACUAAUUGGUCAUUGAUAACAAACUUUACCUUUUGGUGCAACGUAGAUGGGCCUUAUGGGGAAGGGCCUUGCUGUGUCUGUUUUGUCUUCCCUAAGGUCUAUUGCAUUGAAAGGUCAUCUCUGAACUACUAAAAAUGGCACCUUAUUGCCCUUUAACUGCUACCUGAAGUCUUGGCUUCAAUCUUCUCAUAAAAAACUAGUAGACUCCCACACAUAUCAUCGCCAACGUUUUAACGCACUAAGUUCUAUAACCCGAUGUGUUACUAUUUUUCAUUUCUUUUUUGCACCCACUGCCUUAACAUAGAUCCCACAAGAGGCUAGUGAAGAAGAAUGUGUUUAGUGCUUAGCCCAAAUCGUAAACAUCUCGAGUUAUGAACCAUAGCAUGCCAUGAAAUCUGAUUUUAAACUUUUAACCUAGGACAUGGAAAAAGUUCUAACUUUCAAUUUGCCCAAUUUGUCGCCAUAAAUUAUCUGAAGUACCAAACAACCAUGAAAAAAAUAUGAAACUUAUACAGUAAUCACAUAACUCAUCUACCAACAACAUAUCCAAAUUUAACGAUUUAUCAUCCGUUUAGUCAGUCAAAUUGAUCGACAAAGUCACAUGUCUACAAAUUUAUGGGUAAUAUUUUUGCAAUUCGUGAGAAUGACCAUAACUAAUUCUACGGUUGGCUGUCUCGGUUGACCAUUGCUUCUCCAACUGUAGUGUGCCUUGUUCCCUAUUGGUUCAACGGCGCCUCACAUGGCAAUGUGGUUACCUCCUGCUCCACACUCUAUAAUAUUAUUGAACCAAUAGGGAACAAAGCACACUCCUCACAUGGCAAUGUAUUGAGCCAAGACCAUAUCAGUUUGUUGCUUGAAUGUGUUACCUCCUUUCUGCAAGCUCUUCAUCCAUGGAUGAAUUGUGAUAUUUAGUAGUAUCAUUGGUGGCAUAUUGAUAAAUAACUCAAACUGUGCUCUAUAAGAGAUGAUGUGUGGAAGCAUACGAAGUAAACAAACAUGAGAUCAACUAAAUUGGUUGAUUCUCGAAUCUUAAUGGAUACUAUAAGUUGGAUUAGACAUGGAGAACACUGCAGAUCUUGUUACUUGAGUUAUAAAGUAAAUAUAGCUAAUCAAAUUGCUAAAGUAUGAAAUAAAAUAAGAUAGUUGUGAGCUCCCAAUGCCUCCUAGCCAUGCAGCACCUUCCUCUCCAUCUUUGGGUGGUCUAGUCUAUUCUCAAAUGUGUGGAUCACGUCUUUGGUUGCACCAAAUAUGUUGAUGAUUCUCUCCAAGUUCCUGUUAGUAGUAAUGAUAUGGACUAAUGGAGACGUCAAGGUUGUUUCUACUUUAGCAAUAUAUUACAACUUUUUUACUUGAUACCUAAUUUGAGAACUUAUUAUUUCCUACUUUUUUUAUAUUGCAAGUUCAACAAUAAAUUUUUGAUAAUUAAUUUUUAUGAUUGAUUUUCAAGGUGGUUUAUUGUAUAUUAUAGCCCUAUCUUUGUAUUUUAUGUUCUCUUAAAUCAUUUUAUUGGUUUCUUUCAAGGAUUGUGCCUCGUCUAAAAGAGGUAAAACUCCUUGGUCACGGAUUGAACCCUACAAGAGAUCAUUCGACAUUGUAUCCUCAAAUUGAUUUACACACUAUUAUAUUCUUCCAAGUUUUGCAUUCUCAAUUUUAUCUCAUUUUUUAUUCUCUAAGCUCCAAUUUAUUUUUAUUGUUUGUACAAGUCGAGUUUUAUAGAAAAUUGAAAAUCUUUCUUUCAGUUUCUUUUUCUUCAAAUGAAUUCUACAAAUCUUCAUCUCAUUAUUUUUACUCCAAUUAUGAUAAGAAAAAUUUUGGCAAGGCAAAGGGAUAGCUCAUGGAUUUACAUUUUCCUAUUAUUAAGAUUAAAAAAAUUGAAUGAUAUGACAAGCAAAGUAUUGGAUUUUUCUCCUUAUUGUUCUCUUAGAUUGCUUUCUGCAGUUUAUGAUCACCUUAUAUUCAUAAAGCUUUGUUAGAUUGGUUAUCGACUCCGGUGACACUGCUUUGAUAGGUUUUCUUGAGACUUGUUUGUGGCACUGUGCUAGGGGAUCUCCCUAAUUGUUGAUUGAGGUAUCCGACAUAGUUUUUAAUUCUUAGGAUGGGCACCAAUGUGGUGCCUUUCCUGCUACACUCCGACAAUUAAGUCGAUAAAUACUAAAGCCAAGAACUAAAGGAGUGCUGUUGCGUUUUUACUAUCGCAAAUGUAGAUAUCGAAUAAAUAGUAAGUGGACCUGUGAGUCCGGAUUGUCGUUCUCACAGGGACUACUUUAGAACUUAAUUUACUUUCUUUCUAACUACUAUUCGACAAAGCAGAUAAUGAUUUGUAUGUUUUGAAUUUUAAUUUAAAUGUGUAACAAUAUGUGCUUGCACACAAAGAUUGGUUCAGAAAUUAGAUAAUAAAUAAAUAUUAGGGCAGAAUAAUUUCACCUGUCGGUUACAUCUAAAUCUUAAAUCAAGAUUCACAAUCUAAUGUAGUGUUUGGUUGAAUUCUCCUAUUGUAUUCAAUUUACCCCUCUCGAGUUCUCAUUGGGUCUAUUUAACUAAUUCAAUUCCAAAUCUCUAUGCGAAUCAAGCUUAGUUAAACGAAUUCUUUGUUCUAGAAAUUCACUUGUGAUCGCAAUAAUUAGUAUAUGUAUUUUUACACGUUAUAUCAAUUUACCGAAUUUACUAUAUGAUCUAAAUCCUAAACCCAUCUCUCGUUUUGUAAAAGAUUCUCAAAAUCAUCAAAUUAGUGACCAAGUAAUUUAAUGCAUCGAACUCAUAGUGAAAUCAACACAUGAAAAAAAUAAAGAACACGAAUCUUAAUUAAAAAACAUAAAGGAUCCCUAGAAGGUUACAUUAUUCGCCCUAACAAAAAUUUUAGCUACUCAUAAUGAAAGAGAAAAAACAAUAAAUUAUCAUAGAAUACAUCACCGGAUUUUUAGUAUAUAUGUAGAAGAAAAAUUCAAUCUUGCACCAAAAUCAUCUUUCUCUUCCAAUCAAUCCUUCAAAUGAUGCAUUGCUUGUUGUUUUCAUCCCUUGAAUUGCUUCUUUAAAUCUUAAAAUGUGUUUCUUGCCCCCCAUUGUGUGCCAAAUCCCCUUGAAAGCAUGAAAAUUUUGUAUUUAUAAUUGUCCUCUCGUGCGUAGAAAAUAGGGUUUUUAUAGACUUCAAAACGGGUCAAAAUUUAUGCCCUAGUUACUCCGCGGUGACGCAGCGGUGCCCAAUGUGCGGCGUUGUAGCAUCGCGCUAUUUUUUGUUGGAAGCUUGUUUCUCUUGGCGCUGCAGCGUCCAGAGCAUGGCGUCACAGCUCGUGGUGCCAAACCUAUCUCUAGCUUCUUUUUUCCGUGGCGCUUUACCGCCACUAUUUCAGUGUCGAAACGUCACUCGUCCAAUCUGUAUUGUGCUUCGCCUCCUUUGCCCUUUUAUCCAAAAUUUCUUUUCGAUCCAUGCCAAUAACUUUAUUUGAUGAAUUUUUUCCAUUUCUUUCACCAUCUCGACAAUCCUAUAAAAGAACACUAAUAAACACAUAAAAAAUGUUCAAUACUCGCAAAAUCUAGCUUACAAUCAAGUUAAAAAUAACAUAAACUCAUGAUUAAAUCACACUCAUCUAGUGCCUAGCCACUUGCUAAUCUAAUUUGCUAUUCCUACUUGUUCGAGAGGUUUGUGGUCAAUCAAACUUGAUUUACUAUGAUACCAAAUAUAACUUUUUCUUUGAGCCUUAACUUGGUUAUCUUGUUUUUUCCCUUUACAUGGACAUCCUUUUCAAUGUUCAAACUGUUUUUGUCCAAUUACAUGUAUUAAACAUUCAAUUCACCUACAUGUUUACAUUGUAGCUUUUGGUUGUCAUUGGCUGCUAUGAAUAUCUUUGGAUUUGGCCUCAGACGUAGUUCCUACUUAUAAAAUUUGAGAUGUUCUUACUCCUAAAAGUUCUCUGACUCUAUUUUUAUCUAGGAUUGCAUCUCAGAGAACCAAGUUUCAAUCAUAUACCUAUAGCUGGUAAGAUUCUGCUUCCUUUUUUAAUAGAACAUCCUUCAUCACAUCCUGUGUGAUUAAUACAGCCUCAGUCACAUGCAUCUUUCUUUAUUCGUCUCUUGUUACUGUAAUAAUAUGUCGGCCCUCUGGUGGACAGAAAUUGGGUUAUGUUGCAGCCAAAAUCUGUCAAUGGGUGCCAUUUCAAUUGACCUUGGCGGUCUUGAAAAAUAAUGUGCCUGCAAAACAUACAUUUGACUGGAAAAAAUAGGAGCUUGUAUUUUGUAAGUGAAUUUGAUGGAGAGGAGUGGUAAAUCCGUUAUCUCUUAAUGGAUAAGUUUAUCUUCUUAUUUGGGUGAGAUAGUGAGAAGCCAUAUUUUAUUAUAACAGGUUGCAAGUGCACAAUAUCUUGAAUCUUUUUAUUCUACCACAGCCACUAUUAGUCUAUCCACCAUAGUUUUCGUGUGUGCCUAUUGUUUAUUGGGUUUUGUUAAGGUGCUCUAGAAAAUAAGUUACUAUUAGAUAUCUAAGCCCUGUUGAUGUUUGUUUAAUAACUCUUUUAAUAGCGCACUGGGAGGUGAGGGUUCAGAGGGUUCAGUUGUAGUGCCUCAUGGCCUACCAUUCUAUUAAAUAUGCUGAGGGAAAAAAAUUCAAAUUAUCGCUUAAAAGAUCGACCUUUUUAAGUGUAGUUUAAGCACUUAUAUGUUGAUUAUUGUUUUUACAUUUAGAAUUGUGAGAUUUUACCCUUAAUAUAUCCAACAAGAUGGCAGCUUGUUUGGAUUCAUCAUUCCUGGAAUCCAAAUGUCACUCUUUUGAGCUUUUUAAACUGUGAUUUUAUCGAGUCGUGAGUUCCAUCUUAAAAUAUCAAUAUUUUCACGAGAAAUAUCUUAAUCCUUAUAUGUUGAUUGUUUUUUUAUAUUUAGGUUUUGUGGGAGCUUACCUUCACAUCGAGGAAUUGAUCAUAAAUUUUUUCAAGCUGAAGUAUUGGAGAUGAUGUAGCUAUUUAAGGUAAUCUUUUCACAUUUGUAAUGUAGAACCGCUACUAAACAAUUUGUUUAUAGUUAUAUAUCUAGAAUUAGUUACAUGAAGUUUAUAUUACCCUUCUACUUUAUGCUUAAACAUUGCAAGCGCUGUUGGUAAAGUAUGAACAAAUUAUUACAUUGGCUAGACAUGAGUAGAUAAUAUUUUUAUAAAGGGAGUUAGACUGACAUGCAUAGUAGGUUAAAAUUUUCGGAACACAAAUCACCAAGUGAUGUUAAGGUUAGGCUCCAAACUUAGCCAUGUGGCACAAUAUGGCGAAAUAUUAGUGGUUGGCUCUCAAGACAGUAGUACUCACAUAAGGUGGUGACCAUUCAUGUAAUGGAGAGUUGGGCAUGAUGGAACCUGCGAUUCAUCUUGGUUUGAAGAAGAGAGACAUAUAGAUUAAUGGUUGAUGAGGGUAGAUAUGAUGUGGUCUUUCAUUCUGAGGAGGGAUUUUUGUGAUAGUGAGAACAAAAUAUCACGUUGGCUAGACAUGGAAUGGAUAAUUUUACGAGGAAGUUGAGCUAAUCCUUCUAAUCGGUUAACCUUUGAGAUGGAAUCUCACUACUGAACAAUAGUUCAUGAUUGAAUAAUUAUUGUAUAUUCGCUUUUUUUUGUAUUCUAUUUUUUCUUCCAUUCCUUUGUGUAUAAAAAAGGAGCUAAAAAGGUGAAAGAAUGGGAAAAUACAGAGAGAAUCGGACUCUCUUUUCUUUUGUGUUCUGUAAAAAACUGAUUGAUGUUUGUACAUUGAUUCUGUUUAUAGAAUUAGCUAUCAAAUUGCCAACUACAACUAACUGCUAACUAAUAGCUGUAACUAUUUAUUCCAGCUCAUCUUUUCUAACUAACUUCAACUGCCUGUAACUACAGCUUCAACUUUAGUUUUUGUUUCAGCUUCAGCCACCGAUUUUGCUUCAACAAGUUGUUGAGUUGUAAUAUCACCCUUCAAGAUGGACUUGUGCAAAUCAAUGAUUCCCAUCUUGUUAAGUAAGAAAGAAAACUGAUCUGCUCCCAAAGCUUUAGUCAGAAUAUCUGCCAGUUGGCGUUUAGAGGAAACAUAAACUGUUUUAAUCAACCCCUUCUGUAAUUUUUCUCUCACAAUGUGACAAUCUAUAUCUAUAUGUUUCGUCCUCUCAUGGAAAACUGGAUUGGAGGCUACAGGCAAGGCUGCUUUAUUGUCACAAUACAUUAAUGCAGGCUUUAAAUGGUCCACACCAUGGUCAUUGAGUAUUCUAAUAGUCAAAUCACUUCACAGCAGGUGGUAGCCAUUGCUCUAUAUUCGGCUUCAGCUGAUGACCUUGACACUGUUGUUUGCUUUUUAGAUUUCCAUGAAAUCAACGCUUCUACAAGAAAAACACAGUACCAUAUUACAGAUUGCCUGCUAUCUAUACAUCCUGCCCAGUUUGCAUCGCAAAAAGCCUUUAAUUGCAGAUCAAAUGUGCUUGACAGAAAAAUUCCUUGUGUUGGUGUAUGCUUAAUAUAUCUCAGAAUUCUGUGCACUGCAUCCAAGUGAGGCUUUCUUGGUGCUUGCAUAAACUGGCUAAGUGUCUGAACAACAAAUGCGAAAUCAGGUCUCGUGAUGGUUAGGUAUAUUAGCCUACCAAUUAGUCUUCGAUAUUCUGUAGGAUUGGCUAAUAACUGCCCCUCCUCACGAGACAAUUUCAAAUUUUGUUCCAUAGGAAAAUUGGAAUGACCAGCUCCAGUAAGACUCGAAUCUUGCAGUACAUCAAGUGCAUGCUUGCUUUGUGAAAUAGAAAAUCCUGCAGAAGAUCGAGCAAUUUUCAAGCCUAGAAAAUACUAGAUAGUGUGCCAAGAUUUUUAAUUUUAGAAGUUGAGUGCAGAUAGACUUUGAGAGCAUCAAUGCAAACCAGAUCGGGACUUGCAACAACUAUGUCAUCUACAUAAACUAGCAACACAUGAAUGUGGUAGAGUUUUGUAAAGCGAAUACGGUAUGAUCAUGUUGGGACUGAGUAAAACCAUAACUUAGGACACUUUGUGAGUAAAUUUGAGAUUCCACUAUCUAGAUACCUGCCGUAGGCCGUAAAGUGACCUUUCAAGUCUACAAACUGAAUUAGGAAGAAAUGAAGAGUAACCAGGUGGUAGAUUCAUGAAGACUUUCUCAUCUAAUUUACCAUUUAAAAAAGCACUAUCAACAUCGAGCUGAUGCACAUGCCAAUUUCAAGCAGUAGAGACAGCUAGUAAUGUUCUCACAGUUACUAGCUUGGCAAAAGGUGAAAAAGUGAUUGAAAAAUCCAACCUGUCAAUUUGAGUGUAGCCUUAGCAUAUAACGUUCCACUGUCCCAUUAGAUUGAAUUAGAUCUUAUAUAUCCAUCGACAACCAACAGAUUUCUUACCAGGAGGUAAGGUAAUUAAUUCCCAAGUCUGAUUCGCUUCAAGGGUGUCUAUCUCAACUUGCAUAGCCUUUCUCCAAUGCUCAAAUUUUACAGCUUGUUAGUAGUGUGUGGGCUCAAAGGUCGUAGAAACUGAGAGGCUAAAUGAUGCGGACAUCAUCCUCAUUUUAUCUUUUAGUUAUUUAUUUUGGGCUUAUGUCUUUUACUUAUUUAUUUUGGGCUUAUGUCUCAUUAGGCUUGUAUAUGGGUUUGGCCCAAGCCCCCAAGUUAUUGUUUUGUUAUUUAUGUUAUUGUGAUUGGGAUUGAAAGUUAGUAGAUGAUGAAUGAAUGAAUUGUUGCCUUCCACUCCUCUGUCUUCUCUCUUCCCCCUCUUUCUUCUUUCACGUUUUCCCUUCUCUUUCCCCGGCUUCUUCCUCUUCUGCUGUUUCUUCCUACAUCAGAUUUUGGUAUCAGAGCUAAUGCUUGGGAACUACUUUAUCUACACAGACAAUUUCUGUAUACACACCAAUCUGCCGCACUGUCCACCAUUCAUGCCUCAGCGUCCAACAACAAAUCCGACUUGCAAAUAGUUUCCUCACCAUCUUUUCCACCGCCACCAAGUUCUCUAAAUCUGUAACAAAUCUAGGCAGCCUCCUAACAUAACAAAUCCAUCCCUGCAAACCACCCUAGAAAAACCAGACACCCCCAAAUACAUGCACAACAUCCCAAUCAAACAAGGUAACCAUUAAACCACCACAUACAAAAUAACCGCCCACAAUCAUUUAAAUCGUAAUAACCCACCUCACAGUCAACCCCCAAAAGCUCGUUUUCACAAACAAUAACCACCUCUCAAGCAAUGAUUCGACCCCAAGCUUCCGAACAACGCCCAACAGCCUAUUCCUCAUAAGUCCAUCAUCUAAAACCGUCGCCUUUCAAUAACCCACCACCAUACGAUUAUCUCAUACAGUUAGCCCAUCCUCCGAAUUAUCACCUCACAAUUUAUACUCACGAAGCCACCAAAUCAACAGCCCAUUAAGCUCUAAUCAUACAAUACCCAUAAUCCAAACUCAAUCGCGAAUUCACCGUCGAAGAAGCCGGCCACUGCUGCUAGAAAUCGGCCCUCUAUUGACGCAGGAACCAUUCCUUUCCAUAGCCGAUGCACAAUCCACAUUGCAGAUCACCACUCUAGUCACCAACCCAUCGCACCGACUGAAUCACACAAAAAAAACUGACACCAACCGCUGGUCACCUUCACAGCGACGAAGCCUAUAAUCACUGCAGCCUCCAUUCAACCCCAGAUCUCCUGCCGAUUGCUGAAUGCAGAACUGCCGAGCGGUUUAGACAGUGGAAGUGGGUAUUUAAUUCAAUUGGACACAGUAGACUAAUUAGUAGUUUUGGGUAUCUUAUUAAUGUUUGGGCCUUGAAUUGUAACAGUUUUGCUUAUCUGAUUUUUAAGUUAAAAAAAAAAUAAAAAAAAGAGUUAUUUUUCUAACAUCGUUUUUCAGGUGCCUCUUUCAUUCCAGUUGAUUGGACGCAGCUUCUUCGAAUGAACGAAAGGAAAGUCAUUGUUUAAAUUUAUCCUCAGUUAUAUUGCUGUUUAUCUUGAAUUGCAUCGAUUAACUUUUGUGCUGUAGUCUUUACAUAAAACUCACAUGACUAGACCCUAUAUCUGUUAACUCUUCGACUUGUUAUAUUUUCGCAUU
rnacentral:lncRNA from 1 species